rnacentral:miRNA from 8 species
AGGUCUUGACGAGCGCCAUGUU